GAUGAACGCUGGCGGCGUGCCUAAUACAUGCAAGUCGAGCGAACAGAUGAGGAGCUUGCUCCUCUGACGUUAGCGGCGGACGGGUGAGUAACACGUGGAUAACCUACCUAUAAGACUGGGAUAACUUCGGGAAACCGGAGCUAAUACCGGAUAAUAUAUUGAACCGCAUGGUUCAAUAGUGAAAGACGGUUUUGCUGUCACUUAUAGAUGGAUCCGCGCCGCAUUAGCUAGUUGGUAAGGUAACGGCUUACCAAGGCAACGAUGCGUAGCCGACCUGAGAGGGUGAUCGGCCACACUGGAACUGAGACACGGUCCAGACUCCUACGGGAGGCAGCAGUAGGGAAUCUUCGCAAUGGGCGAAAGCCUGACGGAGCAACGCCGCGUGAGUGAUGAAGGUCUUCGGAUCGUAAAACUCUGUUAUUAGGGAAGAACAAAUGUGUAAGUAACUAUGCACGUCUUGACGGUACCUAAUCAGAAAGCCACGGCUAACUACGUG
rnacentral:rRNA from 1 species